rnacentral:rRNA from 1 species
GGUUAAGCGACUAAGCGUACACGGUGGAUGCCCUGGCAGUCAGAGGCGAUGAAGGACGUGCUAAUCUGCGAUAAGCGUCGGUAAGGUGAUAUGAACCGUUAUAACCGGCGAUUUCCGAAUGGGGAAACCCAGUGUGUUUCGACACACUAUCAUUAACUGAAUCCAUAGGUUAAUGAGGCGAACCGGGGGAACUGAAACAUCUAAGUACCCCGAGGAAAAGAAAUCAACCGAGAUUCCCCCAGUAGCGGCGAGCGAACGGGGAGCAGCCCAGAGCCUGAAUCAGUGUGUGUGUUAGUGGAAGCGUCUGGAAAGGCGCGCGAUACAGGGUGACAGCCCCGUACACAAAAAUGCACAUGCUGUGAGCUCGAUGAGUAGGGCGGGACACGUGGUAUCCUGUCUGAAUAUGGGGGGACCAUCCUCCAAGGCUAAAUACUCCUGACUGACCGAUAGUGAACCAGUACCGUGAGGGAAAGGCGAAAAGAACCCCGGCGAGGGGAGUGAAAAAGAACCUGAAACCGUGUACGUACAAGCAGUGGGAGCACGCUUAGGCGUGUGACUGCGUACCUUUUGUAUAAUGGGUCAGCGACUUAUAUUCUGUAGCAAGGUUAACCGAAUAGGGGAGCCGAAGGGAAACCGAGUCUUAACUGGGCGUUAAGUUGCAGGGUAUAGACCCGAAACCCGGUGAUCUAGCCAUGGGCAGGUUGAAGGUUGGGUAACACUAACUGGAGGACCGAACCGACUAAUGUUGAAAAAUUAGCGGAUGACUUGUGGCUGGGGGUGAAAGGCCAAUCAAACCGGGAGAUAGCUGGUUCUCCCCGAAAGCUAUUUAGGUAGCGCCUCGUGAAUUCAUCUCCGGGGGUAGAGCACUGUUUCGGCAAGGGGGUCAUCCCGACUUACCAACCCGAUGCAAACUGCGAAUACCGGAGAAUGUUAUCACGGGAGACACACGGCGGGUGCUAACGUCCGUCGUGAAGAGGGAAACAACCCAGACCGCCAGCUAAGGUCCCAAAGUCAUGGUUAAGUGGGAAACGAUGUGGGAAGGCCCAGACAGCCAGGAUGUUGGCUUAGAAGCAGCCAUCAUUUAAAGAAAGCGUAAUAGCUCACUGGUCGAGUCGGCCUGCGCGGAAGAUGUAACGGGGCUAAACCAUGCACCGAAGCUGCGGCAGCGACACUAUGUGUUGUUGGGUAGGGGAGCGUUCUGUAAGCCUGUGAAGGUGUACUGUGAGGUAUGCUGGAGGUAUCAGAAGUGCGAAUGCUGACAUAAGUAACGAUAAAGCGGGUGAAAAGCCCGCUCGCCGGAAGACCAAGGGUUCCUGUCCAACGUUAAUCGGGGCAGGGUGAGUCGACCCCUAAGGCGAGGCCGAAAGGCGUAGUCGAUGGGAAACAGGUUAAUAUUCCUGUACUUGGUGUUACUGCGAAGGGGGGACGGAGAAGGCUAUGUUGGCCGGGCGACGGUUGUCCCGGUUUAAGCGUGUAGGCUGGUUUUCCAGGCAAAUCCGGAAAAUCAAGGCUGAGGCGUGAUGACGAGGCACUACGGUGCUGAAGCAACAAAUGCCCUGCUUCCAGGAAAAGCCUCUAAGCAUCAGGUAACAUCAAAUCGUACCCCAAACCGACACAGGUGGUCAGGUAGAGAAUACCAAGGCGCUUGAGAGAACUCGGGUGAAGGAACUAGGCAAAAUGGUGCCGUAACUUCGGGAGAAGGCACGCUGAUAUGUAGGUGAAGUCCCUCGCGGAUGGAGCUGAAAUCAGUCGAAGAUACCAGCUGGCUGCAACUGUUUAUUAAAAACACAGCACUGUGCAAACACGAAAGUGGACGUAUACGGUGUGACGCCUGCCCGGUGCCGGAAGGUUAAUUGAUGGGGUUAGCCGCAAGGCGAAGCUCUUGAUCGAAGCCCCGGUAAACGGCGGCCGUAACUAUAACGGUCCUAAGGUAGCGAAAUUCCUUGUCGGGUAAGUUCCGACCUGCACGAAUGGCGUAAUGAUGGCCAGGCUGUCUCCACCCGAGACUCAGUGAAAUUGAACUCGCUGUGAAGAUGCAGUGUACCCGCGGCAAGACGGAAAGACCCCGUGAACCUUUACUAUAGCUUGACACUGAACAUUGAGCCUUGAUGUGUAGGAUAGGUGGGAGGCUUUGAAGUGUGGACGCCAGUCUGCAUGGAGCCGACCUUGAAAUACCACCCUUUAAUGUUUGAUGUUCUAACGUGGACCCGUAAUCCGGGUUGCGGACAGUGUCUGGUGGGUAGUUUGACUGGGGCGGUCUCCUCCUAAAGAGUAACGGAGGAGCACGAAGGUUGGCUAAUCCUGGUCGGACAUCAGGAGGUUAGUGCAAUGGCAUAAGCCAGCUUGACUGCGAGCGUGACGGCGCGAGCAGGUGCGAAAGCAGGUCAUAGUGAUCCGGUGGUUCUGAAUGGAAGGGCCAUCGCUCAACGGAUAAAAGGUACUCCGGGGAUAACAGGCUGAUACCGCCCAAGAGUUCAUAUCGACGGCGGUGUUUGGCACCUCGAUGUCGGCUCAUCACAUCCUGGGGCUGAAGUAGGUCCCAAGGGUAUGGCUGUUCGCCAUUUAAAGUGGUACGCGAGCUGGGUUUAGAACGUCGUGAGACAGUUCGGUCCCUAUCUGCCGUGGGCGCUGGAGAACUGAGGGGGGCUGCUCCUAGUACGAGAGGACCGGAGUGGACGCAUCACUGGUGUUCGGGUUGUCAUGCCAAUGGCACUGCCCGGUAGCUAAAUGCGGAAGAGAUAAGUGCUGAAAGCAUCUAAGCACGAAACUUGCCCCGAGAUGAGUUCUCCCUGACUCCUUGAGAGUCCUGAAGGAACGUUGAAGACGACGACGUUGAUAGGCCGGGUGUGUAAGCGCAGCGAUGCGUUGAGCUAACCGGUACUAAUGAACCGUGAGGCUUAACCUU